UUCAAUCUGGAUCUGCUGCUCUGAAGAGUGAAGCACUCUUGUUUAACUGAAAUCCAACCAGGUUAAGUUUUGAUUUUCUUUCUUGUUACUGUUGUUAAGUUUUGAUUUAGUUUCUGAUCUAUGUUGUUUGUUGAAGGGGUGAAGGAAACCUAAACCCAUAGCGCAUACUCCUCUUCAAACAUCAUCAUCAAUGGAUGACAAUCAAGAUCAGGGUGAUACGGGUUAUCCAGUAUUGUACUUGUUUGGCGAGGAUUAUGUAUCUGAUUUGGUUUGGAAUCAAUCAGCCAAGUCUCUUCAUCUGUUCCAGUCUUCCAGAUAUUAAUACACAAGUUUUGUUGGUUUGUGGUCCCUGAACAGUUCAUAAGGUUGGAAGUAAUUAAGCAUUUAUUUUCCAACUGCCACAUAUUAUAGGUACCACUCCACUAGUAAUGGAUCUUGACAAGAGGAACUAAUGAGUCUGAUCUUAAGGUAGGGCAGUUGAAGGAUACACGGAUGCACAAAUCUUGAGGUAGGGCGGUUAAAAGGUCAUUGGAAGAUGAUUUCAAGGUGGUUGUGGGAACUAGGGUGCCAUCAACUUUCUGAUUGUUAUCUGUAAGAAAGAAUUUGGGGCAAUGAAGGGGUGUAUACCAACUCAAGCAAGCUUGAUUUGAGGAAGGUUGAACACUUCAUUCAGGCAGUGGGUCAUAUGAGGAUGUAAUUUUCACCAAAAGAGUUAGACUUCAUCAGGUUUUUACUUUUUUCUGAACUCUUGAGAUAAUUCGAAUGCUGGAUUUCAUCAGGUCUUAUGAGGAUGUAAUUGUCAGCACAUACUAUUGCAAAAUAUGUGUUGACAGUCGGGGUUCUCCAAGUCCUAAUGUAUGUUUAUGGACAGACUCUAGCAGCACAUGCUGUGAGAUUUAUACAAAUACUGGCGUUGGAGCACCGUCAAUGAGUGAACUGCUUCGGGAUGCGCAGGUACUUCAUCAUGUAUUUGUAUUAGUACAAUUUUAUUUUUUCUCUAUAUCCAACAAUGUUAUUCCUUAUCUUUUAAAAUAUUUUGUAAGAUUCCCCUUGUGUAAUAAUAAGUUAACAGAUUUGUAUCAA